GAUGAACGCUGGCGGCGUGCUUAAUACAUGCAAGUCGAGCGAAUGGACGAGAAGCUUGCUUCUCUGAUGUUAGCGGCGGACGGGUGAGUAACACGUGGAUAACCUACCUAUAAGACUGGGAUAACUUCGGGAAACCGUAGCUAAUACCGGAUAAUAUUUUGAACCGCAUGGUUCAAAAGUGAAAGACGGUCUUGCUGUCACUUAUAGAUGGAUCCGCGCUGCAUUAGCUAGUUGGUAAGGUAACGGCUUACCAAGGCAACGAUGCAUAGCCGACCUGAGAGGGUGAUCGGCCACACUGGAACUGAGACACGGUCCAGACUCCUACGGGAGGCAGCAGUAGGGAAUCUUCCGCAAUGGGCGAAAGCCUGACGGAGCAACGCCGCGUGAGUGAUGAAGGUCUUCGGAUCGUAAAACUCUGUUAUUAGGGAAGAACAUAUGUGUAAGUAACUGUGCACAUCUUGACGGUACCUAAUCAGAAAGCCACGGCUAACUACGUG
rnacentral:rRNA from 1 species